GAUUUCCUUAGUAGCGGCGAGCGAAACGGAACCAGCCCAAACCAACAAGCUUGCUUGUUGGGGUUGUAGGACUCAGUUGUGGUAGCUGUUGUGGAUAGUCGAAUCGACCUGGAAAGGUCAGCCGAAGCGGGUAAAAGCCCCGUAGACGAAAUUGACAACACACCUAUGAGUAUCCUGAGUACGGCGGAACACGCGAAAUUCC
rnacentral:rRNA from 1 species